rnacentral:rRNA from 1 species
AGGUGGGAUCAUACCAGCACUAAUGCAUCGGAUCCCAUCAGAACUCUAUAGUUAAGCGUGCUUGGGCGAGAGUAGUACUAGAAUGAGCGAGCUCUUGCGAAGUCCUCAUGUUGCACCUU